rnacentral:rRNA from 1 species
UCAGAUCACGUAAAAUUUUUAUAGUCGAACAGACUAAAUUUUUUAGCUUCUUCACCAAAUAUAUAAAUUAAUUCAACAUCGAGGUCGCAAUCAUAAUUAUUAAUAAGAACUUUUAAAUUAUAUAACGCUGUUAUCCCUAAAGUAACUUCUUUUCUUUUCUUUUCUUUAAACUAAAAAUACCUAUUCCCUUCAAUUGUUGCCCCAACCAAAAAUUUUUUAAAUUUUAAGCUUCUAGGGUCUUCUCGUCCCAAAAAUAAAUAAAAGAAUUUUUACUUUUAAUUUAAAUUCAAAAUUAUUAAAUAAAACUUUCCUUCAAAAUCUCUACCCUUCAUCCCAGUUCUCAAUUAAAAAA